AACGAACGCUGGCGGCAUGCCUAACACAUGCAAGUCGAACGAUUGCCUUCGGGUGAUAGUGGCGCACGGGUGCGUAACGCGUGGGAAUCUGCCCUUAGGUUCGGAAUAACAGCUGGAAACGGCUGCUAAUGCCGGAUGAUAUCGCGAGAUCAAAGAUUUAUCGCCUGAGGAUGAGCCCGCGUUGGAUUAGGUAGUUGGUGGGGUAAAGGCCUACCAAGCCGACGAUCCAUAGCUGGUCUGAGAGGAUGAUCAGCCACACUGGGACUGAGACACGGCCCAGACUCUUACGGGAGGCAGCAGUGGGGAAUAUUGGAAAAUGGGCGCAAGCCUGAUCCAGCAAUGCCGCGUGAGUGAUGAAGGCCCUAGGGUUGUAAAGCUCUUUUACCCGGGAAGAUAAUGACUGUACCGGGAGAAUAAGCCCCGGCUAACUCCGUG
rnacentral:rRNA from 1 species